GCCUGGCUGGCUCAGUCAGUAGAGCAUAUGACUCUUGAUCUCAGGGUUGUGAGUUCAAAGCCCCACGUUGGGUA
rnacentral:tRNA from 1 species